rnacentral:rRNA from 1 species
UACCGCAUAACGUCGCAAGACCAAAGAGGGGGACCUUCGGGCCUCUUGCCAUCGGAUGUGCCCAGAUGGGAUUAGCUAGUAGGUGGGGUAACGGCUCACCUAGGCGACGAUCCCUAGCUGGUCUGAGAGGAUGACCAGCCACACUGGAACUGAGACACGGUCCAGACUCCUACGGGAGGCAGCAGUGGGGAAUAUUGCACAAUGGGCGCAAGCCUGAUGCAGCCAUGC